CCUGGAACAUUCAGACUGGGUAAUGCCACAAAGGAACAUUCUGGAAAAUAUGUCCUUGAAGAAUACAGAGAUGAUGGACAAAUAAUGAGAAGAGCCCAAGUUCACCUAAAAAUACAAGGGUCCGUGUCAAAGCCAACAGUGUCUCAAAGGUGUUUUCCACCUGAACAGAAGACAGUCACAUGUUAUUCUGAUGAAGAUGAGGUAGAGUUCUUUCUAGCUUUAAAUGGCCACUCACUUAUACAAGGUAGAGAUCACAGGAGUUCCAUGAACUGCAAUGGUGAAACAUCUGCUGUGUCAAAUAUUUGCGUCAACAUGCAUGGACAACUUACGGGAAGCCUCAUGUGCCGAGUUUGGAAUAAUGUCAGCAGAGAGGAUUCAGUUUAUCAGUUAACAUCAUGCAAAGAGAACGCAGAAGAGGAUGUUGUAUAUGCUGAUGUCAAAGUGAAAGAUACAAGUCAAAGUAAAUAAGCCACCCAAUGCAAUGGAAGAUGGCAUUUGCUAAAUGAAAUUAUGCCAUUAGUUAGGAGGACAUAUUCUACUUUGGGCUCCAUAUUUUUUUCUUUU